UGCAGUCGAACGGUAAGGCCCUUCGGGGUACACGAGUGGCGAACGGGUGAGUAACACGUGGGUGAUCUGCCCUGCACUUCGGGAUAAGCCCGGGAAACUGGGUCUAAUACCGGAUAGGACUGCGCGGUGCAUGCCGUGUGGUGGAAAGAUUUAUCGGUGCAGGAUGGGCCCGCGGCCUAUCAGCUUGUUGGUGGGGUAAUGGCCUACCAAGGCGACGACGGGUAGCCGGCCUGAGAGGGCGACCGGCCACACUGGGACUGAGACACGGCCCAGACUCCUACGGGAGGCAGCAGUGGGGAAUAUUGCACAAUGGGCGCAAGCCUGAUGCAGCGACGCCGCGUGAGGGAUGACGGCCUUCGGGUUGUAAACCUCUUUCAGCAGGGACGAAGCGUGAGUGACGGUACCUGCAGAAGAAGCACCGGCCAACUACGUGCCAGCAGCCGCGGUAAUACGUAGGGUGCAAGCGUUGUCCGGAAUUACUGGGCGUAAAGAGCUCGUAGGCGGUUUGUCGCGUCGUCUGUGAAAACCAGCAGCUCAACUGUUGGCUUGCAGGCGAUACGGGCAGACUUGAGUAUUUCAGGGGAGACUGGAAUUCCUGGUGUAGCGGUGAAAUGCGCAGAUAUCAGGAGGAACACCGGUGGCGAAGGCGGGUCUCUGGGAAAUAACUGACGCUGAGGAGCGAAAGCGUGGGUAGCGAACAGGAUUAGAUACCCUGGUAGUCCACGCCGUAAACGGUGGGCGCUAGGUGUGGGUUUCCUUCCACGGGAUCCGUGCCGUAGCUAACGCAUUAAGCGCCCCGCCUGGGGAGUACGGCCGCAAGGCUAAACUCAAAGGAAUUGACGGGGGCCCGCACAAGCGGCGGAGCAUGUGGAUUAAUUCGAUGCAACGCGAAGAUCUUACCUGGGUUUGA
rnacentral:rRNA from 1 species